GUGCUCGCUUCGGCAGCACAUGUACUCAAACUGGAACGAUACAGAGGAGAAUGUGGCCCCUGCGCAAGGAUGACUCAGCAUCAGGCUGUAGGAAAAAUGCUGGAUU
rnacentral:snRNA from 1 species